rnacentral:rRNA from 1 species
GAGGUGAGUGGCGGACGGGUGAGUAACACGUGGUAACCUGCCCUAAAGUGGGGGAUAACAUUUGGAAACAGAUGCUAAUACCGCAUAAAACCUAACACCGCAUGGUGUAGGGUUGAAAGAUGGUUUCGGCUAUCACUUUAGGAUGGACCCGCGGUGCAUUAGUUAGUCGGUGAGGUAAAGGCUCACCAAGACCGUGAUGCAUAGCCGACCUGAGAGGGUAAUCGGCCACACUGGGACUGAGACACGGCCCAGACACCUACGGGAGGCAGCAGUAGGGAAUCUUCCACAAUGGACGAAAGUCUGAUGGAGCAACGCCGCGUGAGUGAAGAAGGUUUUCGGAUCGUAAAACUCUGUUGUUGGAGAAGAAUGUAUCUGAUAGUAACUGAUCAGGUAGUGACGGUAUCCAACCAGAAAGCCACGGCUAACUACGUG